CAGCAGCCGCGGGAAUACAGAGGGUGCGAGCGUUAAUCGGAUUUACUGGGCGUAAAGCGUGCGUAGGCGGCUUCUUAAGUCGGAUGUGAAAUCCCUGAGCUUAACUUGGGAAUUGCAUUCGAUACUGGGAAGCUAGAGUAUGGGAGAGGAUGGUAGAAUUCCAGGUGUAGCGGUGAAAUGUGUAGAGAUCUGGAGGAAUACCGAUGGCGAAGGCAGCCAUCUGGCCUAAUACUGACGCUGAGGUACGAAAGCAUGGGGAGCAAACAGGAUUAGAUACCCCUGUAGUCCCUGUCUCUUAUAC
rnacentral:rRNA from 1 species